rnacentral:rRNA from 1 species
AGGAGAAGUCGUAACAAGGUUUCCGUAGGUGAACCUGCGGAAGGAUCAUUGUACACACCGAUCUCGGAAAAACC